UACGGGGGGGGGCAAGCGUUGUUCGGAAUUACUGGGCGUAAAGGGCUCGUAGGCGGCCAACUAAGUCAGACGUGAAAUCCCUCGGCUUAACCGGGGAACUGCAUCUGAUACUGGAUGGCUUGAGUUCGGGAGAGGGAUGCGGAAUUCCAGGUGUAGCGGUGAAAUGCGUAGAUAUCUGGAGGAACACCGGUGGCGAAGGCGGCAUCCUGGACCAACACUGACGCUGAGGCGCGAAAGCGUGGGGAGCAAACAGG
rnacentral:rRNA from 1 species